GGGUCGGUGCCCGAGUGGCUAAUGGGGACAGACUGUAAAUCUGUUGGCGAGAGCCUACGCUGGUUCGAAUCCAGCCCGGCCCA
rnacentral:tRNA from 1 species